GUAGGUGGCAAGCGUCGUCCGGAAUUAUUGGGCGUAAAGCGCGCGCAGGCGGUUCUUUAAGUCUGAUGUGAAAGCCCACGGGCUCAACCGUGGAGGGUCAUUGGAAACUGGAGAACUUGAGUACAGAAGAGGAAAGCGGAAUUCCACGUGUAGCGGUGAAAUGCGUAGAGAUGUGGAGGAACACCAGUGGCGAGGGCGGCUUUCUGGUCUGUAACUGACGCUGAGGCGCGAAAGCGUGGGGAGCAAACAGGAUUAGAUACCCUGGUAGUCCACGCCGUAAACGAUGAGUGCUAAGUGUUAGGGGGUUUCCGCCCCUUAGUGCUGCAGCUAACGCAUUAAGCACUCCGCCUGGGGAGUACGGCCGCAAGGCUG
rnacentral:rRNA from 1 species